CAAGUCGAMCGGUAACAGGAAGCAGCUUGCUGCUUUGCUGACGAGUGGCGGACGGGUGAGUAAUGUCUGGGAAACUGCCCGAUGGAGGGGGAUAACUACUGGAAACGGUAGCUAAUACCGCAUAACGUCGCAAGACCAAAGAGGGGGACCUUAGGGCCUCUUGCCAUCGGAUGUGCCCAGAUGGGAUUAGCUAGUAGGUGGGGUAACGGCUCACCUAGGCGACGAUCCCUAGCUGGUCUGAGAGGAUGACCAGCCACACUGGAACUGAGACACGGUCCAGACUCCUACGGGAGGCAGCAGUGGGGAAUAUUGCACAAUGGGCGCAAGCCUGAUGCAGCCAUGCCGCGUGUAUGAAGAAGGCCUUCGGGUUGUAAAGUACUUUCAGCGGGGAGGAAGGGAGUAAAGUUAAUACCUUUGCUCAUUGACGUUACCCGCAGAAGAAGCACCGGCUAACUCCGUGCCAGCAGCCGCGGUAAUACGGAGGGUGCAAGCGUUAAUCGGAAUUACUGGGCGUAAAGCGCACGCAGGCGGUUUGUUAAGUCAGAUGUGAAAUCCCCGGGCUCAACCUGGGAACUGCAUCUGAUACUGSCAAGCUUGAGUCUCGUAGAGGGGGGUAGAAUUCCAGGUGUAGCGGUGAAAUGCGUAGAGAUCUGGAGGAAUACCGGUGGCGAAGGCGGCCCCCUGGACGAAGACUGACG
rnacentral:rRNA from 1 species